UUUACAUUCUUAUGUUGUUAUAUUGUAAAUGAGUUCCCUAAAUCAGUGUAUUUCUGAGUCUGAAGCAUCAAAAUGUAACUUCCUGGAGAGCGAUGGUCGGUUGGCGUCUCUAAGCUUCAGUAUUUGAUCUCGUUUUAAGCUGCAGCACUGGCAGCACAAUGUGCCACAAUAAACACUGAAGAUGGAUUUGGCAGGCUUUACUUCAAUCAUUACAAUAUGCAGCGAUUGGUUCAGAUAUUGAUCCAGCAGGCCGGGUUUCUAGAUGCAUAAAGCGGUGGGAGCUGCCCAGUACAACCCUGCUGGCUGAAAGAGCUUUCUGAUGGAGCAGCUGGAGGACAUUUGAACGUUUCUCUGCAGGAGGAAUAAUCAGCUGCUGCUCCGGGGACCCGCACACACUUACAUUUCCUUUAAAAACAUAGAAAAGCAACACUCUUGACAUACCAACGCGACAGAGCACAUGUAAUAUUAUUUCUCUGCGUGCCCAGGGUCGUACUUUUCAACAGGAACGGUCCCCUGUCUGCACAUAUUGAUAUUGAAAGCUAGAGGGAGAAAAAAAAGCCAUCACAGGGCAACCUUGAGCUUCUGCAGGAAAAAAAACAAAAAAAAACACUCAGAGCAAGAUGAAACAGAUAGAGAUUGAUUUUAUGUACUAUUGUGACUGCUUGGCCUCUCAAUGUGAAACUUCUGCUGAUAUUACAAGCUCAGCCUGCAGCUGUGAACGAGAACAAAGCGAGAAGCCAAGCGCUUCAGUCAGACUACUCAGCAAGUCGGUCUUAAUUAACGUAAUCGUGAUCAAUAAAGACAGAAACACCAGGCUGUGUGUUAUCUUUCAUUCUGCUUUUACAUUACAAAGAAAACACACAGUCGUCAUCGUGUUGUUCUUUUCAUAAACGACUGCUGUGAGGUUUUAUCUUGGACUUGUCUCUAAUUGUGAAGAUUUCCUGUGUUGUUUUGUUGUUGUUGUUGUUGUUGUUGUUGUAUAUUUAAAA